CAGCCGCCACGGUAAAACGUAGGUCCCGAGCGUUGUCCGGAUUUAUUGGGCGUAAAGCGAGCGCAGGCGGUUGGAUAAGUCUGAAGUUAAAGGCCGUGGCUUAACCAUAGUACGCUUUGGAAACUGUUUAACUUGAGUGCAAGAGGGGAGAGUGGAAUUCCGUGUGUAGCGGUGAAAUGCGUAGAUAUAUGGAGGAACACCGGUGGCGAAAGCGGCUCUCUGGCUUGUAACUGACGCUGAGGCUCGAAAGCGUGGGGAGCAAACAGGAUUAGAUACCCCUGUAGUCCCUGUCUCUUAUACC
rnacentral:rRNA from 1 species